CUACGGGUCGCAGCAGUGGGGAAUAUUGCACAACGGAGGAAACUCUGAUGCAGCAACGCCGCGUGGAGGAUGACACUUUUCGGAGCGUAAACUCCUUUUAUAUAGGAAGAAGAUGACGGUACUAUAUGAAUAAGCGCCGGCUAACUCCGUGCCAGCAGCCGCGGUAAUACGGAGGGCGCAAGCGUUACUCGGAAUCACUGGGCGUAAAGAGCGUGUAGGCGGAUUAAAAAGUCAGAAGUGAAAUCCUAUAGCUUAACUAUAGAACUGCUUCUGAAACUCUUAAUCUAGAAUAUGGGAGAGGUAGAUGGAAUUUCUGGUGUAGGGGUAAAAUCAGUAGAUAUCAGAAGGAAUACCGAUUGCGAAGGCGAUCUACUAGAACAUUAUUGACGCUGAGACGCGAAAGCGUGGGGAGCAAACAGGAUUAGAUACCCCUGUAGUC
rnacentral:rRNA from 1 species